rnacentral:rRNA from 1 species
UACGGGGGGGCAAGCGGUUGUUCGGAAUUACUGGGCGUAAAGGGCUCGUAGGUGGCCAACUAAGUCAGACGUGAAAUCCCUCAGCUUAACUGGGGAACUGCGUCUGAUACUGGAUGGCUUGAGUUUGGGAGAGGGAUGCGGAAUUCCGAGGUGUAGCGGUGAAAUGCGUAGAUAUCUGGAGGAACACCGGUGGCGAAGGCGGCAUCCUGGACCAACACUGACACUGAUUAGCGAAAGCCAGGGGAGCAAACGGG